rnacentral:lncRNA from 1 species
UCCUUGAUUAUGCCAAUAUCGCCUAGGGAUAGGGGUAGGACGGUCAAUUGUAGUUGCUUCCGAUUGCAUUGCAUUAUUGGUUACUAGGGGAGGCUAGGGAUAGCAAGCCGGUAAUUAAUAAUAGGCUCUUUUCACCAAGGGAUUGGGUUAAGGGUAAAUAAGAAAGUGUGCAUGGCAAUUAGAUAAAUAAGUGAAGGAAAUAAGAGGAGUAGAUAUAUGAGAGUGGAUAAGAUGAAAUUGUAAACCCCAAC